GACUCUCGGCAACGGAUAUCUCGGCUCACGCAUCGAUGAAGAACGUAGCAAAAUGCGAUACUUGGUGUGAAUUGCAGAAUCCCGUGAACCAUCGAGUUUUUGAACGCAAGUUGCGCCCGAAGCCAUUCGGUUGAGGGCACGUCUGCCUGGGGUCA
rnacentral:rRNA from 11 species